rnacentral:rRNA from 1 species
UACGUAGGGUGCGAGCGUUAAUCGGAAUUACUGGGCGUAAAGCGUGCGCAGGCGGUUUUGUAAGCCAGAUGUGAAAUCCCCGGGCUUAACCUGGGAAUGGCAUUUGGGACUGCAAGGCUCGAGUGCGGCAGAGGAGACUGGAAUUCCUGGUGUAGCAGUGAAAUGCGUAGAUAUCAGGAGGAACACCGAUGGCGAAGGCAGGUCUCUGGGAUAACACUGACGCUCAUGCACGAAAGCGUGGGGAGCAAACAGG